ACACUGGUGGAGAGUUUGAUCCUGGCUCAGGAUCAACGCUGGCGGCGUGCCUAAUGCAUGCAAGUCGAACGGGGCGUCCUUCGGGGCGCUCACGUGGCGGACGGGUGAGGAACACGUGGGCAAGCUGCCCCGAGGCAGGGGGUAGCCACCGGAAACGGUGGGUAAUUCCGUAUAGGGCGGCAUCUCAUGUGGGAGGUGUCGGCAAAGGGGCAACCCGCCUUGGGAGGCGCCUGCGGCCGAUUAGCUGGACGGUGGGGUAACGGCCUACCGUGGCGAUGAUCGGUAGCUGGUCUGAGAGGAUGAUCAGCCACACGGGGACUGAGACACGGCCCCGACUCCUACGGGAGGCAGCAGCAAGGAAUUUUCCGCAAUGGGCGCAAGCCUGACGGAGCAACGCCGCGUGCGGGAAGACGCGUUUCGGCGUGUAAACCGCUGUUCGUGGGGACGAAGCACUGACGGUACCCACGGAGGAAGGCCCGGCUAACUACGUGCCAGCAGCCGCGGUAAUACGUAGGGGUCGAGCGUUGUCCGGAGUUACUGGGCGUAAAGCGUGCGCAGGCGGCUCAUUGCGCCCGGCGUGAAAGCCCCCGGCUCAACCGGGGAGAGUCGUCGGGGACGGGUGAGCUUGAGGGUCGCAGGGGCUGGUGGAAUUCCCGGUGUAGUGGUGAAAUGCGUAGAGAUCGGGAGGAACACCCGUGGCGAAGGCGGCCAGCUGGGCGACACCUGACGCUGAGGCACGAAGGCGUGGGGAGCGAACGGGAUUAGAUACCCCGGUAGUCCACGCAGUAAACGAUGCAGACUAGGCGUGGGGGGACUUGACCCCCUCCGUGCCGGAGCUAACGCGGGAAGUCUGCCGCCUGGGGAGUACGGCCGCAAGGCUAAAACUCAAAGGAAUUGACGGGGGCCCGCACAAGCGGCGGAGCGUGUUCUUUAAUUCGUCGCAACGCGAAGAACCUUACCAAGGAUUGACAUGUCCCUGCAGAGCCGGGAAACCGGUUGGCCUUCGAGGGUGGGACACAGGUGCUGCAUGGCUGUCGUCAGCUCGUGUCGUGAGAUGUUGGGUUAAGUCCCGCAACGAGCGCAACCCUUGUGUCCAGUUGUGUUUUUCUGGACAGACUGCCGGGAGCAAACCGGAGGAAGGUGGGGAUGACGUCAAGUCCGCAUGGCCCUUACACCUUGGGCGAGAAACACGCUACAAUGGCCAGGACAACGGGUUGCCAAGCGGUAACGUGGAGCUAAUCCCCCAAACCUGGUCUCAGUUCGGAUCGUGGGCUGCAACUCGCCCACGUGAAGGCGGAGUCGCUAGUAACCGCGGGUCAGCAGUACCGCGGUGAAUAUGUUCCCGGGCCUUGUACACACCGCCCGUCACGUCAUGAAAGCCGGCAACACCUGAAGCCGGUGGGCCAACCCUUCGGGGGGGCAGCUGUCGAGGGUGGGGCUGGUGAUUGGGACGAAGUCGUAACAAGGUAGCCGUAGCGGAAGCUGCGGCUGGAUCACCUCCUUUCUA
rnacentral:rRNA from 1 species